CUCAGGAAUCUCUGAAGUGGAGGCAUCUCAUAGGACCAAGGGAGUAGAUGUACAUUGCGUUUAAUUAUUCAUGUAGGUGUUUAUUUAAUUUAAUUUUGCCUGCUAAGGAUGGAAGCUAGUUUAUUUUAAUGCAGCAACAAAUGCAACACAAAGCACAGAUCUUAAGUGUACAGUUUGAUGAGUUUUGCCUAUGUGUACAUCGAUGUGACUAUCACCCACAUCAGAUAGGGAGCAUUUUUAGCCCCCCAAAAAGCUCACCAUGCCCCUUCCUGGUCAGAACAUCCUUCAAGGUAUUUACAUUUGAAGAGAAUGAUAACUGCUUCAAACCUAAAGCAUGGAGAACAACAAAAUGUACCCCAAUCCAUAUAUCAUCCUCAUAUUUAUCACCAAGACCCCGUGAUUAUAAAGAUUUUGCCAUACAAUAUUCACUGAUUCCCCUUCCCUUGAUGUGUGUGUGUUAAGUAUUUUAAGCAAAUCUCGAAUAUGGCAUCAUUCUAUUUUGAUAUGCAUCUCUAAAAACAUGGAGACUUUCUUACAUAACUAUAGGUACUACUAUUAUCCAUGACUAAAUGACAAGUCCUUGGAGUCAUUUAGCACACAGUACACAUUCCAAUCAGUCCAAUUGUCUUUGUAUAAUUUAUCUGUUCGAAUUGGGAUUCAAUCAAGAUCCAAAGUAGUAAUCUCCAAUUUCUCUCUUUCUCUGUGUUUCUCUCUCUUUUUCUCCUUGUCAUUGACUUGUUGAAAAUACUGGUGAGUUGAGCCUGUAGAAUGUCCUACAUUCUGGAUUUGUCUAUUUCCCAGAGCUGGUGUUUAACUUGUUCCUCCAGCUGCCAUUUGCUUUAUCAACCGGAAGUAAGCUCUAAAGCCUUAAUCCAGUCGAGGUCCAGAUUUUUGCAAGAAUAUGGUGUUGUGUAGGUCACAUUGCAUCACUCCAUGAGCAACAUCAUAUCUGAUGUUCCACUUUAAUGAUACUGAUUCUUGAAUUCAAGUAUUCAUCACCUGAUCUCCAUUUCCUUAUCAACCUUUUAUCAAAUGGUUUCCACAUUAGCUUUAAAUAUUUGCUCUACAAAUAUUUAUCAGGGCUGUUACUGAGUACAUUUUCUAUAUGAGAUAUUGGGGUUAGAAAAGGUGGGCAAAAGAAACCUAUUGCUAAUAAGUAUAAAGACUGUUCACGUAUCCUCAGCCUAUCAGUAUACCGCCCAAAAUUGGGGGUACCUAUUUUGGGAGCAAUUUCCUCACUAGAGGAAAAUAGGAAUGACAAAUGCAAUGGGAGCCCAGUGCUUCCUCAUGUCUGACGAAUCCUAUUACCUUCCCUUCCUCCCCUCUUUCUCAUAUCGUUCUUUCCCUUCAUUUUCCCAUCACUUUGCCUUCAUGAUGUGCCAAUUAUACCGAGGACUGGUGUUGGAGGUGUGGCGUGCUCAAUUAUCCUCAUUUGUAUGCCGUGGUGAUUCAUGGUGGAGCUGGCUCCAUAGCAGAUCAUACAACAAUCUAAUUUUGUGAAAGAGAAAACUGAGCCACAGAAGCCGGGUUACUUGUCCAGUUCACACAGUGACCGGUCCUAAUAAGAAAUGACUGCUUUAUUGAAAGUACCGAGUAUCACAACUUCUGACAAACAGCAGAGAUUUUCUAGGAAGAAAGUUAGUCAGAAGCACGGAGCAGAAAUCUACACCAAAGUCCACCUCAUAAGAAAUUGUUUACACUGUCUCCUCAGGGAAACUCGGGAUAAUACGCAUUUAACAAAGUUGUUUUGGGGCAGCUUCAAGUAGCUGAGAGUUGUAUGUUAGUAGGUCUCAUUUGUGGAAUUCAGACGUUAAGGGCUUUCCUUCCACCUUGAAGAAAAUACGUUACUAACUAGAGAAAAUGACAGUUGAAAUAUUCGGGGGAAAAAAAGAAAAAAGGAAAAACCACUAGAGUCUCUGGAAAGCAGUGUGUGAGACAGCUGUGUGGGAGACAGCAUGAAAAGAUCAUGUUCCUACUUCAUUUUUGUGAGUGCGGAAGACGCACCGGCCACCAGCCACCCUGGUAAAUAUUUGUGGUCUCGAAUUUCACAAACUGCAACACAGUCGGCUUAGCUGCUCCUGUUACAGAGCCUUGGCGACAGGAUCACCAAACUGCCAUGUGGGAGCCUUCUCAGAUGACAAGAUGUGGGAUUCUUAAUCAGACAAGUCUAUUAGGAAAGACUUUCGCAUGCUGCCUCUUUGGAGAAAGGCUCUGAUGGGCCAGAGUUCUGGCCACUGAAUUUUCUUCCUGCACAGAGAAGAAAGGAUGACAUGGUGCCCUUCACGUGGGGCAGGCAAGGUGUCCUUGCCAAGGGGGUCAGCGGGGCACAGGGCCCGCCUACCUCACAGUGGUGUACAUCGGCUCAGAUGGACUCCACUCUGUGGCGUCCCCGUGCUCUGUGACACAUUUCAGUUUCUGGAAAGGGAAGGGCCACCUUGAGGACAUCUGCUGGUCACCCUCCAGCAGAUUAAGACUGAAGACGGGUACUCGCCUUGUGCAGCAACUGCAUAAACAGCCACCUUUUCCAAGCUUUCCCCACGAGGCACUGAGGAUAAAGACAAGGGUCUGAGCUAGAACUCAGAAAGCAGAGGGAACGUUAUUUUCCUCCUUUGUGACAUUAUUACACAUGAAGAAACUGAGGAUUGAGCAAGUCAAGUCACUCAACUCAAGGUCACUCAGCCAAUAAGCGAUGGACUUAGACUGAACCCAGAAUUAUAUCUGAUAAUGAUUUGCUGUGAUUUUCCUGUUAGUGAAUUCCUACCUGCAGGCCCACCACCAUUCCAGAAACUACGCUGACAGCACUUUGUUGAGAGGUGGCAAAUGAAGUGAGAAGGUCAGCAGAGAAUUCAGAAGAGGAUUUUCAAACUGCGAUCCCUGUUUCGACUUGAUGAAUGGAGAACACUGAGGUAGAAGGCGUUACGUCAUUGUCUCAACAUUACACAGGACGUGUUGCUGUUGGAAUUUGCAGGCCGGCAAUUUAAUUUCACAGCCUAUACUUAACCACGUUUUUAUACUGCUUUCCUCCUCUAUAUUUUUGGUGGUGAAUAUGAGAAGAUAAUUUUGAGGGCAUUACGCUUGACAUUUUAGCACUCUCAACAGCGUCCUGAUUUGGGUGGUCAAUUGUCUGGUCACUGACGAACCUGCAAAAGGAACCGUGAUGAGAAGGCCCAUGAUGUCAACACUCAUCUCGUGAUUGGGCCUCCGGUCUCUCCAGGCCAAGUGAGAGGUUGAGCAGCUUGAAUGGCGGUAAGCUUCCCAAAUGUGGGGAAGGACAUUUAAAAUUCAUAUACACACUCCAGGGCCUCUUACACUUUGUAGAUGAAGAAUCAGACAACAUUUGAGAAACAGAGACCACAAGGCUCUAUCUCCCAUCACCCUUCCGGUCAGGGUAUUUUUUAGUCGGGAUUUGGUUUUGGAGAAAAACUUAAAGACAUUUCUUAGACACGUCCACCUUCUCAUUUGGCAGACAAGGUGGACCAAAACUGUGGUCACAGUGAUGGUCGUGGAUGUGGGUAAAACUAGUGACACCUGAGUGGCAAUCUUUUCCAUACCAGCUGCUUGUGAUUUAUUUUUAGGUUGUGGGCAUGACUUCUGUUCUUGCCUUUUCUUUUUUUUUCUUUCUUUUGCUUCAGGGUCUGUCUAAUCUGUCAACUCAAAACUGUCCAGAUAAUUUCUUUGCCACCCUCCAGUCUGGCCCAUCUGUUGCUGCUGUGGUUUGUCAACACACCUUGACGAAGUCCUAUAAUAACUUGAAAUUGUGUCUUUCACUCUGUCUCCUAGGUCUUUGUGACCAUGUCAAAUGGGUGCACCAUGUCACAAACUGUCCUCUUUUCUGUCCUUUCUUAGAGAAAGCUCAGUGUGGCUCCAAAAGCUCCUGGAUUUAGCACUGGCUAUAUAAUUUGUGGGGCUUAGUGCGAAUGGAAAAUGUAGGGUCUCCUUUUGUUCAAAAAUUAUUAAGAAUUCCAAGAUGGAAAGAGUAGACCGUUAAAUCAAGCAUGCGGCCCUUCUAUUUCUGGAGUCCUGUGUACAUAGACCUUGUGCCUUUGCAAUUGGCCCCCCUUCUAUCUUUCAUCUAUCAGUCUCCUUCAUUCUCCUUCCAACUGACAGUUAUGGACCACUAUGCUUGCUAUUGAAAAUAAAAAAUACGCUUACUUUUAGAUUCUAAUAUCCCUACUUUUUAGAUUCUGAUGGCUAAUAUCCCCCAUGAGGUAGAUGAAAUAGCACACACAUUUGGGCUAUAUUUUUGUUUCCUUCAGAUCAUAUGCUCAUCUGUAAUUUCCUGUACAUCAGCCUUAAAUUGCAAAUUCUCUCCUCCAUGUUCUUGUGAUCUUUGUAUGAACUACAGGAACCCAGCGGUCUCUACCUCCCUGGAUCUCUUAUCAUUCCACGCUUGCCUGUUCCAUUCCUACAGACAAGUUUGCUCACGCCUGGGUAACAGAUUAUGCCAAUAAAAGUGUUUGUUGAAGUGAGUUUAAGGCGGGGGCUCAAACUCCGAUGUCUCUAAGGAUUGGGCAGGUAAUAUGCCAUAAAAAGUAAAACCACCACCGAGGGAUUGGCUCAUGACCAGAGAGAAAAAAGAUGCCUACUCAGCCACAGAAGAUUAUUGCCAUGUGAGAUGUAUUCACAGUGUUGUCAAGUCUUUUCAAAGAAAAGUUAGAAAUCUAAAAAAUUAUAUGAAAUAUU